rnacentral:misc_RNA from 1 species
GUUGUUAGUCAUGCCGCUCCUUUCGGCAGGGAAUUUACAAGGUCAGAUUUUUCGCAAAGAUCCUUUUGAUAUCACAACUUGGUUGAUCCGUUUACAACCUAAACCUGCUAAUGCCCAAGCCAAACUCUUUUUACCUGUCAUUUAAAUGGAUGGCGCCAGAAGCUGCCUGCCCUACAAUGAACAAUCCAUAUUUGGCAACAAUGACCAAUAUCCCAAGUUGGUCUUCCUCUACCACAAAACCACACAAGCAAUUUCUCAAAUGAGAUUUAUUAAAAGUGUUGACAGUUUAAUUCUCUGUAGCAUGUUUGCUAGAUAUUAAUUGUAUAAAUUCAGAACAUCUCUAGCUCAAGUAAUUUAUAUUUAUGUUGCCUUCUUUUUUACUUGCAUUAUUCUUUAUUUAGCAUUAUCCUUUAUUUAGCUCCAUGUGUCAAUAUUUCACUCUCUUU